GACAGAGGCCUCAAGCGUUAGGCGGAAUCACUGGGCUUAAAGCGCGUGUAGGCGGAUCGUUAAGUACCUUGUGAAAUCCCACGGCUUAACCGUGGAACUGCUGGGUAUACUGGCGGUCUUGAGCCACCUAGGGGCCUGCGGAACAAGCGGUGGAGCGGUGAAAUGCGUAGAUAUCGAGAGGAACACCUGCGGCGAAGGCGGGUUGCUGGGCUGACACUGACGCUGAUUGUGCGAAAGCUAGGGGAGCGAACGGG
rnacentral:rRNA from 1 species